rnacentral:rRNA from 1 species
UACGAAGGGGGCUAGCGUUGCUCGGAAUCACUGGCGUAAAGCGCACGUAGGCGGCUUCUUAAGUCAGGGGUGAAAUCCUGGAGCUCAACUCCAGAACUGCCUUUGAUACUGAGAGGCGUUGAGUCCGGGAGAGGUGAGUGGAACUGCGAGUGUAGAGGUGAAAUUCGUAGAUAUUCGCAAGAACACCAGUGGCGAAGGCGGCUCACUGGCCCGGUACUGACGCUGAGGUGCGAAAGCGUGGGGAGCAAACAGG